UUAGAAGAGGUAUGCCGUAAUCUAAGCUAUAUCAUAUUUGAAAGGUAGGUGAAUGACGAUUCACCAAUUUCCACCACGAAAACCGCAAUAUUUUAGUAUUAGGUUUUUGAAUGGUUCUUAGAAAUUCCUAGAUUCUUUGAGAUUCAAUGAACUUUUCAAAGGCAUGUUUCAAUCUCGAGUGUGCCCUCCAAGUUUUGUGACUGGGAUACCGAGGAUCACAAAACGAGGUGUGAAGUAACCAUGCAAAUCACUUGGUACCCUUAAAGUUUAUCACUCAAUCGAUGUGCCGGUUAACCACACACGCUCCAUCGAUACUAUAAUAAACCCUAAGUCACCCUUUACCUACCUUGUUAAGUCCAAGUUAGUGUGCCGGUUAACCACACACGCUCCACCAACGACUUAAUCAAAGUGUAAAGUGUAAUUUCAUGGAAUAGCACCUUAUUCACAUUUUUCCUAAAGUAACUAAGAUUGGGAAUUUAAUAAAACAUUUAGUUACUUUAUAAUAUUCAUCAUACUUUGAAUGAGAAUUAAUAAGUCCUUGUCUUACCCGUUCGGCUAACGACCCUCCACCGAUCAAGCAAGCGGUGGGUGAGAGUGGACACCCAUUAAGUCACCAUUUUAUAGGCAACAACCUUAUACCCACCUUAUAGACCGGCUUCGUGAAUGAGGCGUACUAGCGGUAAGACGACUUUGUUCUUAUACAUAUAUAUAUAAUUAUUAAAUCAUAAUAAUAUAAGUAUAAGGGUUGAAUUUUAACUUUUAAAAUUCUAGGGGUUGGAACUAAAGUUUUAACUUAACUUUACUUGUUCCAAAACUUGAGGGCAAGUUUUGUAAACUUUCAAAACUUUUCAUUUCUUGUAACUUAUGAGUUUAAUAGAGUAAUAAAAUGAGGACUUUUCAUUUUUCCUAACUCUUGUGUUCUUUUAAUGGUUUUUAAUCCAAGAGACUUUUGGUUUUCCAUAACUUGAGGACAAGUUAUGGACUCCAUUAAAACACAUUAUGAUCAUGAAUUAAUCUACCACAUAGGUUACAAAUAAUUCCUAUGAUCAUCUAAACAUCAUAAGAACAAGAAUAUGAAUAUGAACACUUUCAAGAAUCAAAAUCACAUUUAAUCUUUGUAAUUUUGAUAACUAGUUGUUGUAAAUGAGUUAGAAAAGACAUUACACCUUCUAAAAUAAGUUUUCAAGUACCAAAACAUUUUAGGGUAAUGAUUCUAAUCCAUUUCCAGCAACUCAAGUCGAAAUUCUGCACUCUGUCGACCCUACUCGCCGAGUGCAUAAACCUACUCGCCGAGUAGGUUGAAGAUACACAUGAACUCGACGAGUCCUCCCCAUGGACUCGCCGAGUCCAUCAGUCAGACAGCAGAAUUUUCGACUUUCUUCAACUUUUAAGCACAAAUAACAAACAAACAAGCCUAGGCUCUGAUACCACUGAUGGGUUUUGAGCAUUCUAACACUUCCUAAGUGUACAUGCAACCCUAAUAACCUUGGAUCUAUGUUUGUCUAAUUAUCAUGCAAAGUUGAAUUCCAAGGUUAUAUUCCUAUCUAGCAUACAUGGGGAACAAUUUUAACUUGAAUCAUAGAUAGAAUAACUUACCUUGUUGUUGCUUGUGUUCCUUGAAACCUUGUGAGCCUAGCACCCCAAGUGUGAUGCCUCAAAUGCUUCACACAACACCAAAUGCUCUUGGAAAGACUCUUGAGAUAACACACACUUCUCAAAAUCGGCCAAGCCCUCUAGUUUCUUAGUGUUCAACUUGUGUAGCCAAUUUUGUGGAGAAUGGGACUCUUAUAUAGUGUUGGCACAUCUAGGGUUACACCAUGUAAACCCUAAUGUGUCAUGACUCUUCAUUUCCAUGACCCAUGGGUUUGUAACUCCCAUGGAGCAUCCAUGGAGCAUCCUAUGGGUAGAACCCAACUUGAUAAUCCAUGGAGCCUCUUAGCCCACUAUACAAGAUAUGGAUGAUUUACAUAAUCAACCCAUAUAUUUAAUUAGUUAUCCUUUGAUCACUUAAUUAAUUCCAAAUUAAUUCUUUGAUCAACUAAUCAAAUAAUAUUAUUAAUAUAUUAGAACUUAUAAUAUAUUAAUAAUCUCCAAGUGUUAUUUCUCUCAUUUAGUCUAUCCAAUUGCAUGGUGCCAUGCAACCCAAAUGGACCAUGCCGGGUCGGGUCAAGUACAAGCCCGAAAUAGUUAUGGACUUAGACACCUUAUCCAACAGUCUCCCACUUGGAUAAGUCUAAUAACUAUAUCUCUAGUACUUCAGGAACCGACCGGCAAUCGUAGCUCUUUCAAGGUCUCUCGGAACUGAGAAGAUGAUGGUACGCCAUUUAAGAUAAGUGAUCAUAUAAUCCUCCGUUCUAGAUAUCAGCCGGACAAAUACAUGGAACAUUGUCUUGCUUAUUGUCCAGCAUUUGUUUCCCGAUUUCCGAUUUGUUUGACAUAGAACUUAAUUGAACACAUCAACUUAGUUCUGACCGGGCCCGGUACAUGGGUCAAAACAAAAUCAUCGAGGGGCCCAGAUAUCAGCUUCUAAUCCAAGAAGGAACAGAUAAACUUCGACUCAUAUGUUUGUUCUACCACUCAUUGAAUUACACACAAAAGUACGUUUUAUAACAUCGAGUUACCAAUGCGGUUUCGUACAGUCAAUGCAUAACCAACUUGUAAGUAACAAAUCAUAUCUCUAGGUUUGAAGACUUAUAUGAUAUUACCGUCUCACGAUCACUCGAGAUAGAAUUCCAUGAAGUGAUUCCAGUGAGCGUGGGUUGAGUCCAAUGCUCAGAACUUAUGAGCACUCAUGAUUGUUGUAGCCUUGUCCAAGACCUCUACAACCAAACAUGACAGUCUUGAUUCAUAUCUACUUCCAACAUAUGACCGACUGUGGAGGUUUGAAUAAUAUGUUAUACCAAACAAAAUUAUUCUGGAAGUCAAAACAUGCAAAAGAAAUAUAGUAAACGAUCGACAAGAGAUAGCAACACUUUACUCAUAAAUAAAACACCUUUUAUUCAUCAUCAAAUGUCAAUUACACUUUACAAAUUUCUGGGUUAUCUAACUACUAAAACUUAUAUCAUCCUUCAGCCCUAUGCUCCGAGCAUGCUGGAGAUGCUUAACCCUACUCAGUCCCUUCGUGAGGGGAUCUGCUGGGUUCUCAUCCGAUGAUACCCUCUUUGCCACGAGGAGUCCUUCUUCGAUCCGAUGUCUAAUGAAAUGGUAUUUUCUGUCGAUGUGUCUGGAUCUCCCAUGAUCCCUUGGUUCCUUGGCUAAGGCAACAGCACUUUCACUAUCACAGAAAAUUUCCAUUGGCUCUUUAAUAGCUGGUACAACUCCAAGGUCUCCAAUGAAGUUCUUCAGCCAUAUCGCCUCCUUUGCUGCUUCACUAGCUGCAAUAUACUCUGAUUCACAAGUAGAAUCUGCCACUGUCUCUUGCUUGGAACUCUUCCAAGAAAUUGCUCCUCCGUUUAGGGUAAAGACCCAGCCCGACUGAGAGCGGAAAUUAUCCCUAUCAGUCUGGAAGCUAGCAUCACUAUACCCUACAACUCUCAAGUCAUCACUCCCACCGAGGGUAAGGACCCAGUCCUUAGUCCUCCGUAGGUACUUGAGGAUAUUCUUUACCGCAGUCCAGUGUGCCUUGCCAGGGUUCGCCUGAUACCUGCUAACCAUGCUCAAGGCAAAAGCUACAUCGGGUCGAGUACACGUCAUAGCAUACAUGAUCGAUCCUACAGCCGAAGCGUAAGGUGUUCGACUCAUUUCUGCUAUCUCAGCCUCAGUGCUAGGGCUUUGUGUCUUACUCAAUCUGGUGUUACUCUGGAUGGGUAACUCUCCUUUCUUGGAAUCCUGCAUGCUGAAUCUCUUCAGCACCUUAUCCAAGUAGGUACUCUGACUAAGUCCAAUUAGUCUUUUACUCCGAUCUCUCAAGAUUCUUAUCCCUAGAAUAUAGGCAGCUUCACCAAGGUCCUUCAUAGCGAAACACUUCCCAAGCCAGGACUUUACUUCCUGCAGGGUUGGAAUGUCGUUUCCUAUGAGUAGUAUGUCAUCCACAUACAAUACCAAAAAGCUAACUAUACUCCCACUAGCCUUGACAUACACACAAGAUUCAUCUUCACUCCUAGAAAAGCCAAAUUCCUUGACCUUUUCAUCAAAGCAAAGAUUCCAUCUGCGAGGUGCUUGCUUCAAUCCAUAAAUGGAUUUCUCAAGCUUACACACUCUAUUAGGGUACUCGUUGCUGACAAAACCCUCUGGCUGACUCAUGUAAACAUCUUCAGCCAACUUUCCAUUAAGGAAAGCGGUUUUGACAUCCAUCUGCCAUAUUUCAUAGUCAUGAAAUGCAGCUAUGGCUAACAGAACCCGAAUAGACUUAAUCUUGGCUACCGGAGAAAAGGUCUCAUCAUAAUCCACUCCAGGAAUUUGAGAGAAGCCCUUUGCAACCAGUCUAGCCUUAUAAGUGUGUACUUUACCAUCCAUGUCGGUCUUCUUCUUGAAGACCCAUUUGCACCCUACUGUCUUACGACCUGGUACAUUUUCAACCAAGUUCCAAACUUGAUUGUCAUACAUGGAUUGUAUCUCGCUAUCCAUAGCCUCUUUCCAUUUAGCAGACUCGGGGCCUGCCAUGGCUUCCUCGUAGCUGUUAGGGUCAUCUUGACUUACUAGUGUCUCAUCACUAAUAAGUGUCUCACCUUCUGCAGUAAUAUGGAAUCCAUAGUAAUGCUCAGGUGCACUCCUAACUCUCGUGGAACGUCUCAGAGGUACAGAUUUGUCAAUUGGCUCAACAGGAGUUUCCUCCUCAAGUUGAGGGCUAGAGUUUGAAGUUCCUUCACCGCUUGAUUCUUGAAUUUCUUCAAGAUCAAUUUGCCUCCCACUGUCUCCUUGGCUUAUAAACUCUCUUUCUCGAAAGACUCCUCUUCUUGCUACAAAGACCACAUUGUCACUAGGUCUGUAGAAGAGGUAACCAAAGGAUCGCUGUGGGUAACCGAUGAAAAUACACCUCUCGCUUCGAGGUUCGAGCUUAUCAUGAGUCUCGCGUCUCACGAAAGCCUCGCAACCCCAAAUCUUGAUGUGGUCUAGUUUAGGUACUUUACCAGUCCACAUCUCGUGAGGAGUUUUGGCAACUUUCUUUGUAGGGACUAGAUUAAGAAUAUGGGCGGCAGUCUCUAAGGCAUACCCCCAGAAUGAGAUUGGUAGCGUAGCUCGACUCAUCAUGGAACGAACCAUAUCUAACAAGGUUCGAUUACGCCUCUCAGCCACACCAUUCAACUGUGGUGUCCUGGGAGGUGUCAAUUGUGAGACUAUCCCACAUUCCCUUAGAUAGUCGAGGAACUCUGAACUAAGAUACUCACCACCACGAUCGGAUCGAAGCAUCUUAAUGUUCCUGCCCAAUUGAUUCUCGACUUCCUGUUUAAAUUCCUUAAACCUCUCGAAAGUCUCUGACUUAUGCUUGAUCAAGUAGACAUAUCCAUAUCUACUAUAAUCAUCAGUAAAAGUCAAAUAAUAACGAUUAGCAUCCCUUGUGGCAUGUUUGAAUGGUCCACACACAUCCGUGUGUAUAAGGUCCAACAAACCUUCACCCCUCUCACACGAACCUGUGAAGGGUGACUUUGUCAUUUUUCCAAGUAAGCAUGAUUCGCAACUAUCAUCUGACUUUAGGUCAAACGACUCCAAGACUCCAUCCUUUUGGAGUUGGCCUAUGCGUUUCUUGCUUAUAUGUCCAAGACGACAAUGCCAUAAAGAUGCUUUAUCCAAGUUAUUAUUAGUAGAAUCAAUACACAAAACAUUAUUUCCCAAGUUAUCUACAACAGAUACAGCUUCAUACACACCAUCACAAGGUAAUGCUUUAAAAUAAAAGACAUUAUUAUAGAAAACAUCUAUAGAACCAACUUCAUUAUUAAAUGAAAAGGUAAACCCUUGUUUGUACAAAGCAUGAAAGGAAAUAAUAUUUCUUGCCAUUCCUGGCGAAUAACAACACUUAUUCAAAUCUAAACUAAACCCACUACUUAGCGAUAAAGUAUAAACUCCAAUCUUGGUAACAGGUAUAGCUUUCCUAUUCCCCAUGAUCAAGUUUAUCCUUCCUUGCUCCACAUCCUCACUUCUUCUUAGUCCCUGCAAGUCACAACAAAUGUGAAUACCACACCCGGUAUCAAGGACCCAAGAAUUAGAAUGGGGUGAGUUAUUAGAAAUGAUAGUGUAAAUACCUGCAUGGUUGGGUUUAACUUUCCCAUCCUUCACAUCUUGCUGGUAUUUUGGGCAGUUCCGCUUCCAAUGAGCUUUUUCAUGGCAAUAGAAGCAUUCAGCCUCUUUUGGGUCAGAAGAAGGAGUAACGAAACCUUUCUUGGUUCCACUUGAAGAAGAGCCAUCAAGGGUCCGAGCCUUGGUACCCUUAGAAGAGCUCUUUCUCUUCCUCCCUCGACUUUUCCCGAUUGCCAAAACCGGAGUAGAGUUUUGAGUAGGAGUGAUAGCAACCGACUUCCCCUUAAGACCUGUUUCUGCGGUCUUGAGAAGUCCCUGAAGUUUGCUGAGGGUGACUUCUUCCUUGUUCAUGUGAUAUGUCAUGCGGAAUUGAUCAUAGCACGAUGGUAAGGAAUGCAAAAUAAUAUCUAUUGCAAGAUCCUCCGGGAAGUUCACAUUAAGCUUCAGCAAACGAUCCACAUACCUUUGCAUUUUCUGCAUGUGGCUCGUGACGGAUUCCCCGUCCUUCAUCAUGGUUGUUAUCAUGGAGCAGAUGAUUUCAUACCUCUCUUGUCUUGCACUUUGAUGGUAUCUUUCCAUCAAAUCUUGGUGCAUGUCAUAAGGGUAGAAAUCCUCAUAAGACUUUUGGAGUUCCGCUGUCAUCGUGGCCAUCAUGAUGCAAGCCACUUUCGUAGCAUCCCUUUCAUGUGCCCGAAAUUCAGCGAUCUCCUGAGGAGUUGCAGUGGACUCAUCAAUCUCCUUAAGCUCCUUGUCAAGGACAUAUUCUUUGUCCUCGUAGCGGGUAAUCAUCCUGAUGUUUCUGAUCCACUCAUUGAAGUUGGAUCCAUCAAAGGUGACUUUCCCACACAAGUUCAUAAGGGUAAAGGAGCCAUUAGGAUUAGAGCCAGAAGCAUUGUUGAAAGACAUCUGAAGGAAAGAGGACAAGAUUAGUUUAGAUAUAAGAGAGUCCUUAAUAAAACACCCAAAUGUAAUAUUAAGGCUAGGAUCCAAUCACAAUAUAAUAUAACUUAGAAGAGGUAUGCCGUAAUCUAAGCUAUAUCAUAUUUGAAAGGUAGGUGAAUGACGAUUCACCAAUUUCCACCACGAAAACCGCAAUAUUUUAGUAUUAGGUUUUUGAAUGGUUCUUAGAAAUUCCUAGAUUCUUUGAGAUUCAAUGAACUUUUCAAAGGCAUGUUUCAAUCUCGAGUGUGCCCUCCAAGUUUGUGACUGGGAUGCCGAGGAUCACAAAACGAGGUGUGUUGUAACCAUGCAAAUCACUUGGUAACCUUUCAAGUUUAUCACUCAAUCGAUGUGCCGGUAAACCACACACGCUCCAUCGAUACUAUAAUAAACCUUUAAGUCACCCUUUACCUACCUUGUUAAGUCCAAGUUAGUGUGCCGGUUAACCACACACGCUCCACCAACGACUUAAACAAAGUGUAAAGUGUAAUUUCAUGGAUUAGCACCUUAUUCACAUUUUUCCUAAAGUAACUAAGAUUGGGAAUUUAAUAAAACAUUUAGUUACUUUAUAAUAUUCAUCAUACUUUGAAUGAGAAUUUAUAAGUCCUUGUCUUACCCGUUCGGCUAACGACCCUCCACCAGUCAAGCAAGCGGUGGGUGAGAGUGGACACCCAUUAAGUCACCAUUUUAUAGGCAACAACCUUAUACCCACCUUAUAGACCGGCUUCGUGAAUGAGGCGUACUAGCGGUAAGACG
rnacentral:lncRNA from 1 species